rnacentral:rRNA from 1 species
GACGAACCGUGCGAACGUUAUUCGAAAUCACUGGGCUUAAAGCGCGUGUAGGCGGCUAAGCAAGUCUGAGGUGAAAUCCUAUCGGCUCAACCGUAGAACUGCCCCAGAUACUGCUUGGCUUGAGGGAGGUAGGGGCCUGUGGAACCUAUGGUGGAGCGGUGAAAUGUGUUGAUAUCAUAGGGAACGCCGGUGGCGAAAGCGACAGGCUGGGUCUCCUCUGACGCUGAGACGCGAAAGCUAGGGUAGCGAACGGG